rnacentral:rRNA from 1 species
UACGUAGGUGGCAAGCGUUGUCCGGAUUUACUGGGCGUAAAGAGCGCGCAGGCGGUCGUUCAAGUCGCGUGUGAAAGCCCCCGGCUCAACUGGGGAGGGUCACGCGAUACUGAUCGACUCGAAGGCAGGAGAGGGUAGUGGAAUUCACGGUGUAGUGGUGAAAUGCGUAGAUAUCGGGAGGAACACCAGUGGCGAAGGCGGCUCACUGGACCGGCAUUGACGCUGAGGUGCGAAAGCGUGGGGAGCAAACAGG